rnacentral:piRNA from 1 species
CUCUUGGAACCUGUAUCAUCUUGGACAUGC